ANGUUAGCGGCGGACGGGUGAGUAACACGUGGGUAACCUACCUAUAAGACUGGGAUAACUCCGGGAAACCGGGGCUAAUACCGGAUAAUAUUUUGAACCGCAUGGUUCAAUAGUGAAAGACGGUUUCGGCUGUCACUUAUAGAUGGACCCGCGCCGUAUUAGCUAGUUGGUAAGGUAACGGCUUACCAAGGCGACGAUACGUAGCCGACCUGAGAGGGUGAUCGGCCACACUGGAACUGAGACACGGUCCAGACUCCUACGGGAGGCAGCAGGC
rnacentral:rRNA from 1 species